AGGAUUGAUUUCAAUCCUUUCUUUACGUAGUAAGCAAAAUCAAAAUAGGAUUGGGAGAUAUUGGGGCUCCAACGUGCAGCAAUCACCAAGAGGAAAAAAAAAAUUAUAUAGGACCUUUGGGUUAGAAAACGCAGAAGCAGUGCGUCAAAACUGAAAAAAAAAAAAAAAAACAGCUUAUCUUUUGUAGAAGAAAAAUUAAGGAAAGAAGAAGAAGAAAAAGUUAGUUUGUUUGGAUAUUUUUAUCGGGUUUAAGACAAAGCAGGUGACGGUGAGGAUCGCGUUGGCUAGAGGAUCCGAGUAGCAUAUUCCUGGUGAGCCCCACAAUUGUUCACGUGGGUUGUAGUUUAUUUAUUCGUUAUGUUUCUUUUUCUUGAAAACUCUUAGUUUGCUCCAUAGUUAUGUCUUUAAAGUUUUGAAUAUUCUUUCAUUAUUUUGGAUUUGUGGAAUAUUAGAUUUUCUCUCA